ensembl:snRNA U6 U6 spliceosomal RNA
GUGUGCCUUAAGCACACAGAAAUAAACAGUAGCAAUUCAGAGAACAUCAGCAUAACCUCUGUGCAAGAAUGGCAUGCAAAUCUGUGAUGUGUUCCAGAUCUUU